rnacentral:misc_RNA from 1 species
UCCGGUUUGACACCGGCAGUCUCUUUAGAGUGCCCGGCCUAACCGCUGGCAACUAAAGACAAGGGUUGCGCUCGUUGCGGGACUUAACCCAACAUCUUACGACACGAGCUGACGACAGCCAUGCAGCACCUAUCUCCACGUCCCCGAAGGGAAAGCCCCAUCUCUGGAGUUGUCGUGGGAUGUUAAGACCAGGUAAGGUUCUGCGCGUUGCUUCGAAUUAAACCACAUACUCCACCGCUCGUGCGGGCCCCCGUCACUUCCUUUGAGUUUUAGCCUUGCGACCGUACUCCCCAGGCGGGAUACUUAAUGCGUGAGCUUCGGUACCCAGGAGGUUAACAUCCCGGACACCUAGUAUCCAUAGUUUACGGCGUGGACUAC